rnacentral:rRNA from 1 species
GUUAAAAAGCUCGUAGUUGGAUUUCUGUCCAAGACGGCCGGUCCCCUCUAUGAGCGUGUAUCUGGUUCGGCUUUGGCAUCCUCGUGGGGAACGCAACGGUGCUUCAUUGCAUUGUACGGUAUUCACGACUUUUACUUUGAGGAAAUUAGAGUGUUCACGGCAGGCAAGCGCCUUGAAUACAUUAGCAUGGAAUAAUAAUAUAGGACUUUAGUUCUAUUUUGUUGGUUUCUAGAACUGAAGUAAUGAUUAAUAGGGAUAAUUGGGGGCAUUUGUAUUAACCCCUCAGAGGUGGAAUUCUUGGAUUGCGUUACGACAAACUACUGCGAAAGCAUUUGCCAAGGAUGUUUUUCUUUGAUCAAGAACGAAAGUAUGGGGAUCGAAAAUGAUUAGAUACCGUCGUAGUCUAUACCAUAAACUAUGCCGACUAGAGAUUGGAGGUCGUUCUUUUAUUUACUCCUUCAGCACCUUAUAAAAAAUCAAAGUCUUUGGGUUCCGGGGGGAGUAUGGUCGCAAGGCUGAAACUUGAAGGAAUUGACGGAAGGCGCACCACCAGGAGUGGAGCCUGCGGCUUAAUUUGACUCCACACGGGAAAACUCACCAGGUCCAGACAUAGUAAAGAUUGACAGAUUGAUAGCUCCUUCAUUGAUUCUAUGGUUGGUGGUGCAUGGGCGUCAUAGUCGGAGAGUGAUUUGUGUUGAUAAUCCGAUC